CAGUAGCCGCGGUAAAACGGAGGGUGCAAGCGUUACUCGGAAUUACUGGGCGUAAAGCGUGCGUAGGUGGUGGUUUAAGUCCGUUGUGAAAGCCCUGGGCUCAACCUGGGAAUUGCAGUGGAUACUGGGUCACUAGAGUGUGGUAGAGGAUAGUGGAAUUUCCGGUGUAGCAGUGAAAUGCGUAGAGAUCGGAAGGAACAUCUGUGGCGAAGGCGACUAUCUGGGCCAACACUGACACUGAGGCACGAAAGCGUGGGGAGCAAACAGGAUUAGAUACCCCUGUAGUCCCUGUCUCUUAUAC
rnacentral:rRNA from 1 species